rnacentral:rRNA from 1 species
AUGACUAGGGAUAACCUUAGGAAGAGACACAUCAUCAAACCCCUUGAUUGUGUUUACUUCUUGGAACAAGAGUCUUGUUCUCCCCUAUUUUUUGAAUGUAUAGUUGCUAAACAUCUCUGGGCCCACAUUGAGGAAUAUUUCUCUAGUCAGAUUGGCUCAUCCUUCGAAUCUGUCGCCAGAUUCUGGAUUGCUACCAAAAAGUGCUCAGUUUCAAACACUGUUAGCUCAGCUAUCCUUUGGUACCUCUAGAAAUAUAGAAAUGCUAUGAUGUUCAGUAACACCUCCUGGAUUUCCAUUCCGCAGGUCUUGAGGUUGAUCAGGAACAUGGUGAGGAACUGGGCAAUUCUCUCCUCCGGAUCGGGCAAGGAUAAGUUGAUGAGUUUCGUGGAAACCUUAACAAGAUCCCUCCAGAAACCGUUGGCGAUCACUUGUGGCUGA